UUUAUCUACAUCUAAUCAUACACCUAAAAUUUAUAUGACAGAAAAAAUAAUUAAAAAAUAAAAGAAUACUCUACCGGUAAAAACCCACACUCCACCGGUAAAAACCCCACUCACACUCCCGACUCCCCCUCCCCCAAAAUCAAGAAAUCCAGAUAUCGUUCUCCACCGGUAAAAACCCUCAAAAUCAUCUCCUUCCCACCUUUUUCAGCUCCUCACCUUCAUUUUCGCUUCUCUUCUCACCCAAAAGAGGAAAUAGAAACUCUCAAACCACCGCAGAUCAGCAGAGAGGGAGUGAAGGAGAAGGGUUCCAAGGGUUUGGGUUUGGUUUAUGACUCUGAAACGAUGGCCCGCGAAAGUGAGGAGAAGCAGCGGCGGAGGUAGCAGAGUGAUAUUGUGAGUUUCAAGGCAAAAGGGUGCGGCACAGACCCCGGCUAUGAAGUGAUGACCUCGGAUAAUGCUGGUCGAUUCAUCUGCAAUUAUGUAUACUAUCACUCCUUGCGGUUUGCAGAGCAGAAUGGAAUCAAAUCACUAUUUGUACAUGUUCCUCUCUUCUUGACUAUAAGAUGAGGAGAUUCAGAUGCAAUUUGCUGCUUUGUUGGAGAUAGAUGGAUUUGACCAGACAUAUUUGACGAGACAGUUAAUGUGAAGGUUAUCAUGGCAACUAACAGAGCUGACACUUUGGACCCUGCCCUUCGGCAUCCGGGAAGACUUGAACAUAAAAUUGAGUUCCCUUUGCCAGAUAGACGUCAGAAGAGGCUUGUCUUUCAGAAGAAAUGAUGGUGGACAAGCUGAGUACAUUUGUCCAAAUUGUUAUAUAGAAGUAGUUGAGAAGUGGGAAAGUGUACCCAUUGCCGGAGAGCGCUGUUCUAGGAGCAAGGGAUUUGCGUAGAACAAGCAGCGGUUAUUUGCAAAGCUGAACCAAGAAAGGCAGGAUAGAGUAAGGCUUCAAUGCAAAAGUUUUGCCUGAGGUGAGCCUGUUCCUUAUAUGCAGUAUGUGAUGUACUUCCAGUUUGUGAUUUUCUUUAAGGUAAGUUUUGAAUUUCUCAUAUGUAGAAAAGAUAUGCUAUGCUUAAAUUUAUCUUUCCUUUUAGUUUCUUUAGCUCAUUGUUUCUAAUUAAUACAUUCUAACAAUAGAAUAAGAUUAGAAAGAGGUGCAAAGCUCUGCAGAACUUAAUUACUUGUUUUAGAAAAAUAAACGAAUAUUUGAGUGGCUUGCGCUCUGUACGGAUUAUGCGAGUGACUUGAAUGACCAUCUUUAUUGUAAAAAAGUAACAAGAGAUUGGAGCCUAGUAUCGUUGUGACAAUAGAAUUAGAUUAGUCAGGGAAUUAAUGUGUUGGAAUGUGGAUGUGUGGGGAUUGAAAAUUUUUAUUUGGGGGUUGACAAUUUUUAUUGAACGCCGUUGUUGUGAAGGAAGUUAGUGUGUCUCGAGAAAAAUAUGCGAAUUAUCUUGUAGUAGCGCUUGAAUUUACCUAUUGUUGUCUUGUGAUAUCCCUUAGAUUAAUAGGAUUUUUUGGUAUAAGUCGAGAUAAGUAGGAGAAACCAGAACUAGUGGCAUAUUGAAAAAAAAAGUGGUGUGAAGUGUGUUCCAUUGACUGCAUCAAUUGAAUAAUGUUCGAGAAUCAACACAAAAGCCCUUUGUGUGAGCUUUUGGACCAAAGCACUUCCAUUUAAAUAGUGCUCCUACAUUUCUUUUGAUUGAGGGCAUCAAACUUAGGGUGUUCAUUCUAGAACUUGCUUGUGAAAUACAUUUUGAGUCCAC